GCUGUGCGACCAGCGAGGCGAGGAUGAGAUAAACAUGGGUUAUGAAUUAAAGAUGGGUGAGCUGAUAGUAGAAUCCUACAAAGGAGGAGAGAAUCGAGAUGCCAGAAAUCAUUAGGAACGCCAUGCCCAUCUAACUCAACCACCGCCAUGAUCCUCCAAAUCCCUCCAACCCAGUACAGAAUGCUGCCCAGGUGUGCCACCC
rnacentral:lncRNA from 1 species